rnacentral:rRNA from 1 species
UAGGGAAUCUUCGGCAAUGGGGGGAACCCUGACCGAGCAACGCCGCGUGAGUGAAGAAGGUUUUCGGAUCGUAAAGCUCUGUUGUUAAGGAAGAACGAGUGUGAGAAUGGAAAGUUCAUGCUGUGACGGUACUUAACCAGAAAGGGACGGCUAACUACGUGCCAGCAGCCGCGGUAAUACGUAGGUCCCGAGCGUAGUCCGGAUUUAUUGGGCGUAAAGCGAGCGCAGGCGGUUAGAAAAGUCUGAAGUGAAAGGCAGUGGCUCAACCAUUGUAGGCUUUGGAAACUGUUUAACUUGAGUGCAGAAGGGGAGAGUGGAAUUCCAUGUGUAGCGGUGAAAUGCGUAGAUAUAUGGAGGAACACCGGUGGCGAAAGCGGCUCUCUGGUCUGUAACUGACGCUGAGGCUCGAAAGCGUGGGGAGCGAACAGG